UACAGAGGCUACAAGCGUUAGGCGGAAUCACUGGGCUUAAAGCGUGUGUAGGCGGGCCGUUAAGUGCCUUGUGAAAUCCCCCGGCUUAACCGGGGAACGGCUGGGCAUACUGGCGGUCUUGAGCCACCUAGGGGCUACUGGAACUAACGGUGGAGCGGUGAAAUGCGUAGAUAUCGUUAGGAACGCCUAUGGUGAAAACAGGUAGCUAGGGGUGUGCUGACGCUGAGACACGAAAGCCAGGGGAG
rnacentral:rRNA from 1 species